rnacentral:tRNA from 1 species
GCUCCACUAGCCCAAACGGUAGAGGCAAAGGACUUAAAAUCCUUAAAGUCCAAGUUCGAAUCUUGGGUGGAGUA